UCAUUGCGGUGAUGAGUUAUGAAUUUUCGCAUGUCAGACUUCGGAGAUGCUUCUGGCAUCCAUGAGAAGUAAUAUCAUACGACUGAGCAAUGG